rnacentral:sRNA from 1 species
UGAAACAUAUGAAGGUGGCCUCGUAGUA